rnacentral:tRNA from 1 species
UCGGGUAUGGUGUAGCGGUAACAUCGUUGACUCUCACUUCUCAGGAGUGACUGCUUUCUCAACAGCCCCGGGUUCGACUCCCGGUAUCCGAG